rnacentral:rRNA from 1 species
UACGGAGGGUGCGAGCGUUGUCCGGAUUUAUUGGGUUUAAAGGGUGCGUAGGCGGUCUGGUAAGUCGGCGGUGAAAGCCCGGGGCUCAACCCCGGAACUGCCAUCGAUACUGUCAGACUUGAGUGUGGUUGAGGGUGGCGGAAUGGGCGGUGUAGCGGUGAAAUGCAUAGAUACCGUCCAGAACCCCAAUUGCGAAGGCAGCUGCCUGAGCCACAACUGACGCUGAGGCACGAAAGCGUGGGGAGCAAACAGG